AGCUGAGGCACGGCGAGCGCUUUCGGUUUAACAUGGCGGAGACGGUCUCCUCAGCGGCCCGGGACGCGCCGAGCCGUGAGGGCUGGACAGAUUCGGAUUCUCCAGAGCAGGAGGAGGUGGGAGACGACGCGGAGCUGCUCCAGUGCCAGCUUCAGCUGGGGACCCCGAGAGAGAUGGAGAACGCGGAGCUUGUGGCUGAGGUGGAGGCCGUGGCUGCGGGCUGGAUGCUCGACUUCCUCUGCCUGUCUCUGUGCCGAGCCUUCCGUGACGGCCGCUCCGAGGACUUUCGUCGUACUCGUGACAGCGCCGAGGCUAUUAUUCAUGGACUACACAGACUUACAGCUUACCAAUUGAAAACUGUGUAUAUAUGUCAGUUUUUGACAAGAGUUGCAUCUGGAAAGGCCCUUGAUGCACAGUUUGAAGUUGAUGAGCGUAUUACACCCUUGGAAUCAGCCCUGAUGAUUUGGAACUCAAUUGAAAAGGAACAUGACAAACUGCAUGACGAAAUAAAGAAUUUAAUUAAAAUUCAGGCUGUAGCUGUUUGUAUGGAAAUUGGCAGCUUUAAGGAAGCAGAAGAAGUAUUUGAAAGAAUAUUUGGUGAUCCAGAAUUUUACACGCCUUUAGAAAGGAAGUUACUUAAGAUAAUCUCUCAGAAGGAUGUGUUCCACUCCCUUUUCCAACACUUCAGCUAUAGCUGCAUGAUGGAGAAAAUUCAGAGUUAUGUGGGUGAUGUGUUAAGUGAAAAAUCAUCAACUUUUCUAAUGAAGGCAGCAACAAAAGUAGUGGAAAAUGAGAAAGCGAGGACACAAGCGUCUAAGGAUAGGCCAGAUGCCACCAACACUGGAAUGGACACUGAAGUUGGUUUGAAUAAAGAGAAAAGGUCUUUCGCACCUUCCCUUCCAUAUGGAUCCACAUCUUGUGAUUAUCACAUUAGAAAACAAACUGGCAUCUAUGGAAUAAUAAUACAAUGAGAUGAAUCAAAAACAAAAAAAUAUGACAAAACCAAACAAAAAAAGUACAGGAAAUAUAUAUAGGUGCACAGGCACAUGUUCCCAUACUAAAGAAUCAAAAAAAAAAAAAAAAAAACCCCAACCAACCAAACAAACAAACAAACAAAGCAAGAAGUCAAGAUUUAUGCCCAAAGGACCUGUAAGAUACAAAAGUGUUAAUGGCCAGCAGUCUACAGAAACUGAACCCUUAGUGGAUACAGUAUCCUCAAUAAGGUGAAACAACGAUGGAAAGGAACCGAAGAACCAGUGGAAGGAAUAGAUUGUGUGUCUCAGAGAAUCAGCCAGACACUGAUGACAAAAGUGGACGCAGGAAAAGACAGACAUGGCUUUGGGAAGAAGACAGAAUUUUGAAGUGUGGUGUAAAGAAAUAUGGAGAGGGAAAUUGGGCUAAAAUACUAUCCCAUUAUAAGUUCAACAACCGAACAAGUGUCAUGUUAAAAGAUAGAUGGAGAACAAUGAAGAGACUGAAACUGAUUAGCUGAGACACUGGAGGCUGGAUGGGUUUGAUUCAGCUUAAUACAAGGAUAAAUACUUGGAUCACUACACUUUGUUUACAAUUUCCUGGUCAGUAAUGAUAAAGCAUUAUGGUGGUGGUGGGGCAGUGAGGAGGGGGAAGAGAAAGAGAGUUUUUGUUUUUUUGGUUUUUGUUUGUUUGUUUGUUUGUUUGUUUUUUAGAGGAGAUUUGUGCUUUAAAUCUAUGUCAUCAUUAUUUUCUGAAUCUUUAUUUUUGUAAAAUAUAGAUAUGUUGAACCCUACCAAAUUCAGUACCCCAUCCCAUAUUCUGUUUUAAUACAAAAGAGUCUAAUAAGAUUAAAUGAAUAUAUGACUAUUUACGGUUUGUUCUAUUCCAUGUCUAUAAACUAACCUCACAAAAUGCCACCUAGCAUUGAGUUUUCUGAAGAACUUAAUUGGAAUAAUCCUUGAUGUGACUUUACUGCUGGAUCUAUGGCUAAUGUACUACUUACUAAAGAUCUAUUACUAGAGAGGUAUUCAAAACAACUCAUGAGUUCUAACAAGCCUAGCUUGGCUUCUCUCAAAAGUUUCAUUUAAAGGAAGUUGAGUUUUCACCAAAAAUGUAUUCAUUGCAAUAUUUAAUCAAAGACUAAUUAAUAAUUAGCAUUUGAGUUUUAUGUGCCAUAUUUAACAAGUAAAAAAUAAGUCUCGGCCGGGUGUGGUGGCGCAGGCCUUUAAUCCCAGCACUCGGGAGGCAGAGGCAGGUAGAUUUCUGAGUUUGAGGCCAGCCUGGUCUUCAGAGUGAGUUCCAGGACAGCCAGGGCUACACAGAGAAACCUUGUCUCAAAAACCAAAAAAAAAAAAAGUCUCAACCUAUUGAAAUAUUUAUGAGAAAGUCAGCAUUGUGUAUUUCCUUCAAAGUGUUGUGCAUUGCUUUCCUGUUCUCUUGAAUUUGCUGCCUUAUAUAUAUAAUAAACAGAAGCAUUAGUGGUUGCUGUAGACCAAA